rnacentral:rRNA from 1 species
UACGUAGGGCGCGAGCGUUGUCCGGAAUUAUUGGGCGUAAAGGGCUCGUAGGCGGUUUGUCACGUCGGCUGUGAAAACCCGGGGCUCAACCCCGGGCCUGCAGUCGAUACGGGCAGACUAGAGUGCGGUAGGGGAGACUGGAAUUCCUGGUGUAGCGGUGAAAUGCGCAGAUAUCAGGAGGAACACCAGUGGCGAAGGCGGUUGCCUGGGGCUUUGCUGACGCUGAUGCGCGAAAGCGUGGGGAGCGAUCCGG